UACGGAGGGUGCGAGCGUUAAUCGGAAUUACUGGGCGUAAAGCGCACGCAGGCGGUUUGUUAAGCUAGAUGUGAAAGCCCCGGGCUCAACCUGGGAUGGUCAUUUAGAACUGGCAGACUAGAGUCUUGGAGAGGGGAGUGGAAUUCCAGGUGUAGCGGUGAAACGCGUAGAUAUCUGGAGGAACAUCAGUGGCGAAGGCGACUCCCUGGCCAAAGACUGACGCUCAUGUGCGAAAGUGUGGGUAGCGAACAGG
rnacentral:rRNA from 1 species